rnacentral:rRNA from 1 species
UACGGAGGGUGCAAGCGUUAUCCGGAUUUAUUGGGUUUAAAGGGUGCGUAGGCGGAUUAAUAAGUCAGUGGUGAAAUAUUCGGGCUCAACCUGGGUGCUGCCAUUGAUACUGUUAGUCUUGAGUGUAAAUGAUGUGGGCGGAAUGUGUCAUGUAGCGGUGAAAUGCAUAGAUAUGACACAGAACACCGAUAGCGAAGGCAGCUCACAAACAUACAACUGACGCUGAUGCACGAAAGCGUGGGGAG